rnacentral:lncRNA from 1 species
GGUCCGUAGGUUGGUUUAAGGCUUUUUGGCAAAAGUUGAAAAGUUGAAAGUUUGGAAGGUUGAUAUAUUUGACCGAGGGUUGACUUUAUUGAUAUAGGGCUCGGAUUGUCUUUGCGAGACUUGUCAUAGGUCCGAUGUGUCAUUUAGGACUUACAUGUAAAAUUUGAGCUCUUUCGGAGUUGGUUUGAUAUGAUUCGGCAUUAGUUUUAGAAGUCGAAUGUUCAUUGAUUCAAUUGGUUUGAAUUGGGGUUCAAGUAGUAGAUUUGAUGUUUCUUGAUUUGAUUUAAGGCUUCGAGUAGGUUCGUGUUGUAUUUUGGGACUCGAUGGUAUGUUCGGACAGGGUCCUGGGGGCCCCGAGUGUGAUUUGGGUUGAGUUCGAACUCAUUUGGAGACUUGAAGGAUUUUGGAUGCCUGUUGAGUACUGGUGCAAUCGCACCUGCGAGGGUAUGGUUGCAGGUGCGGCAUCGAAGAAACAGCCCAUUGGCCGCAGAUGCGAGCCGGAGCUGGGUGAGCUGGGUCCGCAGGUGAGAAUUGCUCCCGCUGAAGCGGAGUUUUGUCUGUUAGUUUGGGACCGCAGAAUCGGAUGCGUAGAAGAGCCUUGUGUCCGCAAAAGCGGAAGCACAUAUGCGCUGUAUGGACCGCAAAAACGUAUUUUGCUGGGCUUUAGUGUAGCCGCAUCUGCAAUGUUAUUUCCGCAGAUGUAGAGUUGCAGAAGCGACCAAUUUUUUGAAGGUGCGGAAUGUCUGGGCAGAAAUAGAGAAGAUUGAUGGUUUUAUUUCAUCUGCCACAUUUUUGAGUUAGAGAGCUUGGUUUUGGACGUUUUUAGGGAAAUCUCAUGGAUUGGAUCGGGGUAAGUAUGGUUGGACUCAUAUUAGAAUGGGUGUUCGGAUUUGGUAAGUUUGGUCGGGUUCCGAGGUACGGGUCCAUGGUUGACUUUUUGAUUUACUUUAAUGAUUGAAAAUUAUUAUCCGAAAUUGCUUCCUAUGGCUUUUAUUUAUGGUAUUAAGUUAUUUUGUCUAGAUUCGAGCCGUCCGAAGUUGAAUUUUUGCGGGAAAGGCUUACUAGGAGAUUGAUUUAGCUUGUUUGAGGUAAGUAUCCUGUCUAACUUUAUGUGAGGGAAAUACCCCUUAGGACUUGGGUUGAUUUGUGUUAUUUGAAUUAUAUAAAAGACGUGUACUCAAGGUGACGAGCGUGUACACGAGCUUAUAGGUGCUAUUUUGACCGGUUUAGACUCUUAGGAUCUUUUAUGCAUUUAAUUAGAAAUUGAAAUAUCAUGUUAUAUCUUCCAUUGUUAAACUGCUCUACAUGCUUUACUUGAUAUUGUAAUCACAUGCCCGAUCUUUUAUUUUCAAACAUUCUUUUAUUUGCCUUAAUUGGUGUUGUUAUCUUUUUUAUUGUAAUGUGUCUUUUAAUUGUGUAAUUAUUCUAAUUUGAAGUUGAAGUUAUGAAAGCUAUUAUUACAUUGUUGUUGAAGUUGUUGAUUAUUGAGAUAUUGUACCCUUGUUGAGUAAUUCCUAUUCAUUUUGUUAUGAUUGAGAUUCUUGUUCACAUCGUGGUUGAGCUUUGGGCUAUAUGUUGUGGUAACUUCGGGUAUUGUUAAUUUUGGCAAGUUGUGGCAUAUGGUCACUUGUGGUUCGAGUUGUUAUAGUGUUAUAAUAUUAUGAAGUGCAUGUGGCGGUAUAAAUAUGGGGUUAAUGUGCAUGCGGCGACAUAAGGUGGAAUUUAUGUGCGUGUUGCUAGUAAGGUAAUUACUUGAAGACACGCGGCAGCAUAAGGGGCUAAAAUGUGUGUACCUAUUUCGGGAAAAAGUGUUUUAAAUAAUAUCUUAAUUUAACGCUCACACGGCGGUAUAAGGAAAGGUUGUGAUCUUGAAUUUUAAAAUGUGGAUAUGAUGUGGUACCUCAGUUGGGAUUCUUGUUGUACAUUCUAUGUUAAAGAGGCUUGUUGGUUGAACAAUUUUGUUAUUUCUUUAUUUGCCUUACUUGUAUUUGUCUGUAUUUAUUUAUUGAUGUUCUUAUCAUGUUUUCACUCCUAGUUUGGGAUUGGUAGAAUUCAAGAAUGUUCUACAAGUUUCUUCCAUUGUAUUUGAGUCGCGUGGAGGCGACAUUUAUGGUAAAAGCUAUUUCGGAGGGUUGAGUUGGCCUAGUUGAGGUAAGUAUCCUGCCUAACUUUGUGUGGGGGAAUUACCCCUUUGGAUUGGUGUUGAUUGAUUUAUUUGUACUAUGUGAAUGCCGUGUACGCAAGGUGACGAGUGGGUACACGGGUUGUACGUGGUAUUUGACCGGUUUAGGCUACUUAGACUAUUUUCAUGCCUUAAUUGAAAUGCCAUAUCAGGUUCUAAAAAACUCAUAGUCAAUUUGCGGUCCGCAUAGUUUUUCUACUUCUGCCCAACAUUUUCCUUCAACUCCCUAGGCACUGUUCAAUCCAAAAAGUCCGAACCUCUAUUCGCAAAGGUCUAAGAAUGAAUAUGCGACCAAAGUGCGGCCCGCAAAAUGGUUAUGCGGUCGCAUAAUUGGCCGCGAAAUCAACAUCUAAAAUGCAUAAGAAAACUGCCUCACUUUGCGACCAUUCUGCGAUGUGCAGAGUGGUUCUGCGGCCGCAGAACGGGCCAUAGAAAUGCCUACUUCUGCCCAACAUUUUCCUUCAACUCCCUAGCCACUAUUCAGUCCGAAAAGUAAUUACCUCCCUUCGUAAAAGUGUAAGGAUGACUAUGCGACCAAAGUGCGGCCCGCAAAACGGUUAUGCAGUCGCAUAAUUGGCCGCGAAAUCGACAUCAAAAACACCCCAGAAAACUGCAUCACUCUGCGACCAUUCUGCGGUCCGCAGAGUGGUUCUGCGGCCGCAGAACGGGCCGCAAAAAUGCCUUCUUUUGCCCAACAUUUUCCUUCAACUAUCUAGGCACUGUUCAAUCCAAAAAGUCCGAAUCUCCCUUCGCAAAAGUUUAAGGAUGACUGUGCGACCAAAGUGCGGCCCGCGAAACGGUUAUGCGGUCGCAUAA